rnacentral:rRNA from 1 species
GACGAACGCUGGCGGCGUGCUUAACACAUGCAAGUCGAACGGAAAGGCCCUGCUUUUGUGGGGUGCUCGAGUGGCGAACGGGUGAGUAACACGUGAGUAACCUGCCCUUGACUUUGGGAUAACUUCAGGAAACUGGGGCUAAUACCGGAUAGGAGCUCCUGCUGCAUGGUGGGGGUUGGUAAGUUUCGGCGGUUGGGGAUGGACUCGCGGCUUAUCAGCUUGUUGGUGGGGUAGUGGCUUACCAAGGCUUUGACGGGUAGCCGGCCUGAGAGGGUGACCGGCCACAUUGGGACUGCGAUACGGCCCAGACUCCUACGGGAGGCAGCAGUGGGGAAUAUUGCACAAUGGGCGGAAGCCUGAUGCAGCAACGCCGCGUGCGGGAUGACGGCCUUCGGGUUGUAAACCGCUUUCGCCUGUGACGAAGCGUGAGUGACGGUAAUGGGUAAAGAAGCACCGGCUAACUACGUG